CUAGCCGUAAACGAUGGAUACUAGGCGUUGUGAGUAUCGACCCUCACAGUGUCGUAGCUAACGCGUUAAGUAUCCCGCCUGGGGAGUACGCGCGCAAGCGUGAAACUCAAAGGAAUUGACGGGGGCCCGCACAAGCGGUGGAGUAUGUGGUUUAAUUCGAUGCAACGCGAAGAACCUUACCAGGACUUGACAUGUCGCGAAUCUCAGGGAAACUUGAGGGUGCCUUCGGGAGCGCGAACACAGGUGGUGC
rnacentral:rRNA from 1 species